ensembl:snRNA U1 U1 spliceosomal RNA
GUACUUACCUGGCAGGGGAGAUACCAUGGUCACAAAGGUGGUUUUUCUAGGGCAAGGCUUUUCCAUUGACUCCAGAUGUGCUGACCCUUGCUAUUUCCCCUAAUGUGGGAAACUCUACUGUAUAAUUUGUGGUGAGGGACACUGUGUUUGUACGUUCCCCUA